rnacentral:rRNA from 1 species
UACGUAGGGUGCAAGCGUUGUCCGGAAUUAUUGGGCGUAAAGAGCUCGUAGGCGGUCUGUCACGUCGGCUGUGAAAACCCGAGGCUCAACCUCGGGCCUGCAGUCGAUACGGGCAAACUAGAGUACUGCAGGGGAGACUGGAAUUCCUGGUGUAGCGGUGAAAUGCGCAGAUAUCAGGAGGAACACCGGUGGCGAAGGCAGGUCUCUGGGCAGUAACUGACGCUGAGGAGCGAAAGCGUGGGGAGCGAACAGG